GCGCCAGUAGCUCAGCUGGAUAGAGCAAUGCCCUUCUAAGGCAUCGGUCGAGGGUUCGAAUCCUUCCUGGCGCG
rnacentral:tRNA from 1 species